rnacentral:rRNA from 1 species
AUUGAACGCUGGCGGCAUGCUUUACACAUGCAAGUCGAACGGUAACAGCACUUCGGUGGCUGACGAGUGGCGAACGGGUGAGUAAUACAUCGGAACGUGCCUAGUAGUGGGGGAUAACUACUCGAAAGAGUAGCUAAUACCGCAUGAGAUCUAAGGAUGAAAGCAGGGGACCUUCGGGCCUUGCGCUACCAGAGCGGCUGAUGGCAGAUUAGGUAGUUGGUGGGAUAAAAGCUUACCAAGCCGACGAUCUGUAGCUGGUCUGAGAGGACGACCAGCCACACUGGGACUGAGACACGGCCCAGACUCCUACGGGAGGCAGCAGUGGGGAAUUUUGGACAAUGGGCGCAAGCCUGAUCCAGCAAUGCCGCGUGCAGGAUGAAGGCCUUCGGGUUGUAAACUGCUUUUGUACGGAACGAAAAGCCCUCUUCUAAUACAGGAGGGUCAUGACGGUACCGGAAGAAUAAGCACCGGCUAACUACGUG